AUUGUUUAAAUUUUUAAAUUAAAUAGGCAUUCUCCUUUUCCCCAUAAAACAAUUUCCUGUUCAGAUCUUUUUUAUGAAAAAUUGAAAAUAGUGGCAACAACGUGAACUAUGAUUCUUUGCCGUGAUAGGAAAGUUGUCGUUUAGCGGCCAUUACAAUGACAUCAUAUAUUUCUAAGUCACCGUUCACGGAAUACAUAUCAAAAAUACUUCCUUAUCCUUAUUCUGAUAAUUAAUAAAAAAAUUCGAUUAAAUAGCCGAACUAUAAAUACAUAAUAGAAAAACUGGCAACUACGCCUUUUCUUUUAUGUGAACGAGCCUACUAGUAGUUAAGUUGCCAGGUGUAUAUUCAAUAUUGUAGCUGUGACGCUGAAUGAAUAAAGUCACUUGAUAUAAAAAAGAAGAUUGUUGACAGUUCAUGAUAUUGAAAGUGUGAAUAUUGUGUAAUUGCAUGAAUCUGGCUUUGAAUGAGUGAAUAAAGUACAAAAAAAACAUUAUGCUGAUUGUCCCCCCACCACGGCGAUCUGGGGUAAAUCGAGACUUAAGUUCACACCCAGUACAGUAAAAGCAUCUUGUAACUUAUUCACGAUCGGUAUUAAAUGUUCCAUACCGGCGUUACCCGCCAUAUUGUGUCUUUAGAAGAAAAAAAUCACCAACUAAUUCACGGUAAAACAUAAAUUAUAAACAAUUCAAUAAUCGUCGAACGUUCUGUGAUGGCUACCGAGUCGCGAAUGAAUCAUACACGAUGGGACUAUAGUUUUAAGCACUUUUAAGAUAACCACACCAUGAUCUGCUUUUAGCUUAUAAUAAACAAGAUUCGUUAA